rnacentral:rRNA from 1 species
UACAGAGGGGGCAAGCGUUGUUCGGAAUUACUGGGCGUAAAGGGCGCGUAGGCGGCCCGCUAAGUCGAACGUGAAAUCCCCGGGCUCAACCCGGGAACUGCGUCUGAUACUGGAAGGCUUGAAUCCGGGAGAGGGAUGUGGAAUUCCAGGUGUAGCGGUGAAAUGCGUAGAUAUCUGGAGGAACACCGGUGGCGAAGGCGGCUCACUGGUCCGGUUCUGACGCUGAGGCGCGAAAGCGUGGGGAGCAAACAGG